GAUGAACGCUGGCGGCGUGCUUAACACAUGCAAGUCGAACGGAAAGGCCCAAGCUUGCUUGGGUACUCGAGUGGCGAACGGGUGAGUAACACGUGGGUGAUCUGCCCUGCACUUCGGGAUAAGCCUGGGAAACUGGGUCUAAUACCGGAUAGGACCACAUUUUGGAUGGUGUGGUGGAAAGUUUUUCGGUGUGGGAUGAGCUCGCGGCCUAUCAGCUUGUUGGUGGGGUAAUGGCCUACCAAGGCGUCGACGGGUAGCCGGCCUGAGAGGGUGUACGGCCACAUUGGGACUGAGAUACGGCCCAGACUCCUACGGGAGGCAGCAGUGGGGAAUAUUGCACAAUGGGCGCAAGCCUGAUGCAGCGACGCCGCGGGGGGGAUGACGGCCUUCGGGUUGUAAACUCCUUUCGCUAGGGACGAAGCGUUUUUGUGACGGUACCUGGAGAAGAAGCACCGGCUAACUACGU
rnacentral:rRNA from 1 species